CCCAUGCGAGUCUAAGGGGUACUUGCUACCCCUGGCAUAAUGCUCAGUAACACGUGGAUAAUCUACCCUUAGGUGGGGCAUAAACCCGGGAAACUGGGGCUAAUUCCCCAUAGAUACAGAACGCUGGAAUGCUUCUGUAUUCAAAGCUCCGGCGCCUAAGGAUGAGUCUGCGACCUAUCAGGUAGUAGUCAGGGUCACGACCUGACUAGCCAACGACGGGUACGGGGUGUGAGAGCACUUGCCCGGAGAUGGUUUCUGAGACACGAAACCAGGCCCUACGGGGCGCAGCAGGCGCGAAAACUUCGCAAUGCGGGAAACCGUGACGAGGGAACUCCAAGUGUCUAUGCAAUGCAUAGACUGUUUUUCAGCCUAAAUAGCUGUUAGAGUAAGGGGUGGGUAAGACCGGUGCCAGCCGCCGAGGUAACACCGGCACCCCGAGUGGUAGCCACUAUUAUUUGGCCUAAAGCGUUCGUAGCCGGUUUAGUAAAUUCUUGGGUAAAUCGUACAGCUUAACUGUGCGGAUUCCGGGGACACUACUAGACUUGAGACCGGGAGAGAUUAGAGGUACUUGCAGGGGAGCGGUGAAAUGUUGUAAUCCUGCAGGGACCACCAGUGGCGAAGGCGUCUAAUCAUAACGGCUCUGACGGUGAGGAACGAAACCCUGGGGCGCAAACGGGAUUAGAUACCCCGGUAGUCCAGGGCGUAAACGCUGCUGACUUGGUGUUGGAGAUCCUACGAGGUGUCCAGUGCUGGCGCGAAGUAUUAAGUCAGCCGCUGGGGAGUACGGUCGCAAGACUGAAACUUAAAGGAAUUGCGGGGGAGCACUGCAACGUGUGGAGCGUGCGGUUUAAUU
rnacentral:rRNA from 1 species